UCUCCGUUGGUGAACCAGCGGAGGGAUCAUUGCUGGAACGCGCCCCAGGCGCACCCAGAAACCCUUUGUGAACUUAUACCUUACUGUUGCCUCGGCGCUAGCUGGUCCUUCGGGGCCCCUCACCCUCGGGUGUUGAGACAGCCCGCCGGCGGCCCCUACCAAACCUCUUGUUUUUACAGUGUCUCCUCUGAGUUACAAACACAAAUGAAUCAAAACUUUCAACAACGGAUCUCUUGGUUCUGGCAUCGAUGAAGAACGCAGC
rnacentral:misc_RNA from 1 species